rnacentral:rRNA from 1 species
GGCGGCGUGCUUAACACAUGCAAGUCGAGCGGAAAGGCUCUUUCGGGGGUACUCGAGCGGCGAACGGGUGAGUAACACGUGAGUAACCUGCCCUGGACUUUGGGAUAACCCUCGGAAACGGGGGCUAAUACCGAAUACGACCUGCGCCCGCAUGGGUGUGGGUGGAAAGUUUUUUCGGUCUGGGAUGGGCUCGCGGCCUAUCAGCUUGUUGGUGGGGUGAUGGCCUACCAAGGCGACGACGGGUAGCCGGCCUGAGAGGGCGACCGGCCACACUGGGACUGAGACACGGCCCAGACUCCUACGGGAGGCAGCAGUGGGGAAUAUUGCACAAUGGGCGGAAGCCUGAUGCAGCGACGCCGCGUGAGGGAUGACGGCCUUCGGGUUGUAAACCUCUUUCAGCAGGGACGAAGCGCAAGUGACGGUACCUGCAGAAGAAGCGCCGGCCAACUACGUGCCAGCAGCCGCGGUAAGACGUAGGGCGCGAGCGUUGUCCGGAUUUAUUGGGCGUAAAGAGCUCGUAGGCGGCUUGUCGCGUCGACCGUGAAAACUCGCAGCUCAACUGCGAGCCUGCGGUCGAUACGGGCAGGCUAGAGUUCGGUAGGGGAGACUGGAAUUCCUGGUGUAGCGGUGAAAUGCGCAGAUAUCAGGAGGAACACCGGUGGCGAAGGCGGGUCUCUGGGCCGAUACUGACGCUGAGGAGCGAAAGCGUGGGGAGCGAACAGGAUUAGAUACCUGGUAGUCCACGCUGUAAACGUUGGGCGCUAGGUGUGGGGGGCCUCUCCGGUUCUCUGUGCCGCAGCUAACGCAUUAAGCGCCCCGCCUGGGGAGUACGGCCGC